GUGUCGCGUUCCCGCGGAGCCAAUCAGCGUCUCCGCGGUUCCGGGUUACAAAGUUCCCAUGCAGCCGCCCGCACUCAGAUCGUCCCAGACCCUAAGGAAGGGGGCCAUGGCGCCCCGAACCUCCUCCUGCUGCUCUCGGCGGCCGUGGCCCUGACCGAGACCUGGGCGGGUGAGUGCGGGGUCGGGAGGGAAACGACCCCUGCCGGGGAGGGCGAAGGGACCGCGGGCGGGAGCUCAGGACCCGGGAAGCCGCCACCGCGGCCCCGACCUCCCCGUCCCCAAGCCGGGCGCUGCCGCUCCCCACCCGCCUCCUCCCACGAUGUCCCUUUGGGGUCUCAGGAGCCCGUGUCCCCUCCUCCCCUCCGGCCCAUCAUCCUGGGACCCGGGUCCCGCGGCAGGAGGGUCGCGGAGUCUCAGCCGCCCCCCGCCCCCAGGCUCGCACUCCCUGAUGUAUUUCUCCACCAAGACUAGCAGUUCCUCCAGGCCCUCAUGGUCCUCCCUUCUCCCUGUCCACUCAUGGGUUGUUUUCUUUCCACAAGUGAAAUAAGAGGCAGCUGUGCUCAGGCUGCAAGUAAGUAUUGCAAAGAACCCCUGAGCCCCUUGUGGAACUGUAUACAGGAACCAAUAGGUUUGCUCACCCACCCCAUAAUUCCCCCUUUAGCCACAUCUCCUUUGGUCUCUGACCAGAUGUUUUGUUCUUUCCUAGGAGGGGACAGUUCCCAGGGCUCUGAUUCUUCUCUCAUUUUCCAUGCCCGUCUGAAUUUGUCAUGAUCAUUUCUGUUACAGUGUGGGACAGCUGCCUUAUGAGGACUGAGCCACACAGGAUCUGUGCAGGCCUCUCCCCGUUCUUCCUCCUGUGAGGUUGCAGUGGGCUGAGAUUCUCACUUCCCUGUUGAAAAUAAGAAUGUGGAUAUGGAUUUGAUCAAAUUCUUGCCAUGAGAUGAAGUUGCUGAGCUAAUUAAAUCAAAGGAAGAUUAAUAAAACUUUGAGAGAAAAUAGAACUUGACA
rnacentral:lncRNA from 1 species